rnacentral:rRNA from 1 species
AUACGUAGGGGACGAGCGUUGUCCGGAAUUACUGGGCGUAAAGGGCGCGCAGGCGGAUAUUUAAGUCAGCUGUAAAAGGCAUGAGCUCAACUCAUGUAUGCGGUUGAAACUGGGUAUCUAGAGUGCUGGAGAGGUAGGCGGAAUUCCCGGUGUAGCGGUGAACUGCGUAGAUAUCGGGAAGAACACCAGUGGCGAAGGCGGCUUACUGGCCAGCAACUGACGCUGAGGCGCGAAAGCCAGGGGAGCGAACGGGAUUAGAUACCCCGGUAGUCCUGGCCGUAAACGAUGAAUGCUAGGUGUGGGUGUCGAGAGGCAUCCGUGCCGGAGUUAACGCGAUAAGCAUUCCGCCUGGGGAGUACGAUCGCAAGAUUGAAACUCAAAUGAAUUGACGGGG